GGGUGAGUAACGCGUGGGAACGUGCCUUUCACUACGGAAUAGCUCCUGGAAACGGGUGGUAAUACCGUAUACGCCCUUAGGGGGAAAGAUUUAUCGGUGAAAGAUCGGCCCGCGUUAGAUUAGCUAGUUGGUGGGGUAAUGGCCUACCAAGGCGACGAUCUAUAGCUGGUCUGAGAGGAUGACCAGCCACACUGGGACUGAGACACGGCCCAGACUCCUACGGGAGGCAGCAGUGGGGAAUCUUGCACAAUGGGCGAAAGCCUGAUGCAGCCAUGCCGCGUGAAUGAUGAAGGCCUUAGGGUUGUAAAAUUCUUUCAACGGUGACGAUAAUGACGGUAGCCGUAGAAGAAGCCCCGGCUAACUUCGUGCCAGCAGCCGCGGUAAUACGAAGGGGGCUAGCGUUGUUCGGAAUUACUGGGCGUAAAGCGCGCGUAGGCGGACUUUUAAGUCAGAUGUGAAAUCCCAAGGCUCAACCUUGGAACUGCAUUUGAAACUGGGAGUCUAGAGGUCAGGAGAGGUUCGUGGAAUGCCGAGUGUAGAGGUGAAAUUCGUAGAUAUUCGGUGGAACACCAGUGGCGAAA
rnacentral:rRNA from 1 species